CUACGUGCCAGCAGCCGCGGUAAUACGUAGGUGGCAAGCGUUGUCCGGAAUUAUUGGGCGUAAAGCGCGCGCAGGCGGAUUGGUCAGUCUGUCUUAAAAGUUCGGGGCUUAACCCCGUGAUGGGAUGGAGACUGCCAAUCUAGAGUAUCGGAGAGGAAAGUGGAAUUCCUAGUGUAGCGGUGAAAUGCGUAGAUAUUAGGAAGAACACCAGUGGCGAAGGCGACUUUCUGGACGAAAACUGACGCUGAGGCGCGAAAGCCAGGGGAGCGAACGGGAUUAGAUACCCCGGUAGUCCUGGCCGUAAACGAUGGGUACUAGGUGUAGGAGGUAUCGACCCCUUCUGUGCCGGAGUUAACGCAAUAAGUACCCCGCCUGGGGAGUACGACCGCAAGGUUGAAACUCAAAGGAAUUGACGGGGGCCCGCACAAGCGGUGGAGUAUGUGGUUUAAUUCGACGCAACGCGAAGAACCUUACCAGGUCUUGACAUUGAUGGACAGAACUAGAGAUAG
rnacentral:rRNA from 1 species